rnacentral:tmRNA from 1 species
GGGGGCGAAACGGUUUCGACGGGGGUUUGGAAAGCUUGAGUGGCGCCCGAGGUCUCCGCAUGGCCCUCGUUAAACAGGCGGAAAAAUUCAAUUGCCGAAGAUAACUCUUUAGCACUCGCAGCUUAAUUGCGAGCGUCUUCCUCCGGGCUCGGUCAGUGGCGCGGAGAGCGGGCGUCCCCAAUGCUGACUGGUUCUCAUCACGUCACAUAAAUGAGAACGAGAUUAAUGUGGCUCUCCUGAUCGGAAACAUGUCGCUGGGUGUCUUAUCAGGUUAAAUUAAAACAGUGACUAUGGCGUAGAUGCUCCUGUAGACCACCUUCGGACCCGGGUUCGACUCCCGGCGCCUCCACUA